AUUUGCAGACACGGUACAGUCCCUGGCACGAGCAGACACUCAGCGUAUAUUUAGAAAGAAGGGAUGUUAUUUUGUUGUUUGAUGGUCCCAGCUGUCCUAUGAAGUAGAAGUGAAUGUGCCAUUUUACACGUGAGAAUCCUGGCUCUCCUUUGAGACUGACGGGGGACAACAUCCUUAAGAUUCUUAAAAGCUGCAUUGUUCGCUGAGAUGGCCUGUGCGCCACCCCUCAGGACUCCUGGAAGUACUGAUAGUGCCUUUGCUCGUCUUCACCUGCUCUGUGGCCCAGGAGACUGCUGGUUGAGUUCAGCCACCAGAUGACGCCAGCUGAAGGUCAGUGGGGGUGGUGGUGAAUGAAGUCACAGUGUUCAUUCCUCCAGCUCCCUCCCAGAAAAUGGUCUGAAGGAGGAACUCAGGAAAAGGAUUCUAGAGGAAAGGCCUCCCAGACCACAGCAACUGUGACUAGAAGAAGUCCUGGUCAUAAAGACGCCAAACGUCCAAGGAGGGGCCGGGCUGAGGCUGCAAGCCCCUACCACCAAGCUGAAGAAACUGCCACUUGUUGGAGACAAAUUUGUGGAGUUGAGAAUGGUCUCUCUCAAAAAGACACUUCUUGAAGAGUCUGGGCCAGGGUCUUCCGUUUUGCUUUUAUAUGGGAUUUAAUGCUAGAAAGCAUUAAAUACAUACACAUACAUGUAUAGAUACACAUAUACAAAGGGAUAUACAGGUAAAGAUAAACAUAUUUGGACAUAGAUAUACAUACACAAACAGACAUACGUAUAAAGACAUAGGUAAAAAUAUGCGUACACAUAGAUAUAGACGCGGUUGCUGGGGACUGAGGUGACCGCCACGUGAAGAGCUGGUAGGCCACUGGGAACACCCAGGCCUCCUUUCCAAUGAUCUUCUCAAAGUGUGAGCACACCACAUGGCACAGCUGUCUUCACUGCUAUAUUCUAGAACGCCCCUGCAUCAGAUUCCUUCUCACAUAAGAACCAACAGUGAUAACGCCAUACCUCGUUGUGCGAUGAAACACUACGGGGCCCUUGAAAGGAGAGAGGUAGAUCUUGAGGACUAACAGCGAAAGAUGCCACUGUGGUGGAGCGCCUGCUGUGAGGUGAACAAAGGAAAUACAGAGCUGUGAACAGAGGAGACUUCUCUCUGGUGCUUUUUGGGGAGGAGAUGAUUAGACGGUGCAUAGAAAAAAUUCUAAAGGAAUGUGCAUCAAAAUGUUACCGUUUUUUUCUUGGGGAGGAGAUCAUGGGGGAACAUUCCACAUUUUUCUAUAUUAUAUGCUUCUCUAAUGUUUCACGCUUUUAUAAAAAAAUGCAUUACCUUUGAAAUCAGAAAAAACAGAUGGACACAUAAAACACACAUGUUCAUAUUGUGUACGCACCAUGUUCUCUAAAGCUUGCUUCCUUACGAGGUCUGCCUCGCCCUAACACCACUCCCAGACCUUCACUUCAUCAGUCCUGCGCCUUCACUUUGGCUUUUCCUUCUGCCCAGAAUGCCUGCCC
rnacentral:lncRNA from 1 species